AGAUUAACUGUAUUAAGCACUAAAAAUAAUCAUUUUUCCUCAACAAUAGCUAUAAAAUUGUCGCCGUGAAGAUGUACAACUUGCUCUGUUUUACCCUGUGUCUGGAACAGAAUAAUCUAGUGCAAGAUAACAUGUGUUUUAGUUAGUGAUUGUCAUUAGCACUGCAACUGUGAUGAAGUGUUUUGCCCCCACCCCUUAGAGUUGCAGUGUUCUCUGUGAUAGGGACUCGGAAAGUAAUAAAAAGAGAGGAGCGGACAAAUGUGUUUUCAGAGCGGUUGGAGAUGUGUGACUGGAAACACAUCUCUAUCCAUUCUCCUCGCGAGAUAAAAAGAAUCUAACUCUUUUGUCUUUUCUGUGUUUGUUUAAUUUGUCUUUAAUAGGUGUCAAACCUGACAAAAACAAUGCAUAUAUUUUCCAGUGUUUAUCUCACAUUAGGCCCACGAUGGUGCUCCAAAUGUCUGCUUUACAAGGCUUAUUCUACCUAUCCUGGUUUCAUUUGUUUUAAUACUUUAGUCAGGUAGACUCAGCAAGUACCCAGCAUUAGGCUUUAUGUCAAACCCAAAUAUGCAAAUUGUGAGUCACACUGGCAGAAAAAGAGACAGGUGGAUAGCAAUAGGUGUUUCAUCAUCAAAGUCCUAAUCAUGUUAAAUUCAAAUAAUUUAGACAAUUGUACAAUUCACACAUCUGCAACACAGUAGUGUCUCCAGUUCAGUCAGUGCUUUGAUGAGGGUUUAACACACAAAUCCUAAUAUUGCCAUCAAGACUAAACUCACCUGCCUGAAGCCGUCU